UGUACACACCGCCCGUCAAGCCAUGGAAGCUGGGGGUGCCUGAAGUCGGUGACCGCAAGGAGCUGCCUAGGGUAAAACUAGUAACUAGGGCUAAGUCGUAACAAGGUAGCCGUACCGGAAGG
rnacentral:rRNA from 1 species